GGACAACCUACCCUUAGGCCGGGGAUAAACCCGGGAAACUGGGUAUAAUACCCGAUAGUCCUCGAACGCUGGAAUGCAUCGAGGACUAAAGCUCCGGCGCCUAAGGAUGGGUCUGCGGCCUAUCAGGUAGUAGUGGGUGUAGCGUACCUACUAGCCUACGACGGGUACGGGUUGUGAGAGCAAGAGCCCGGAGAUGGAUUCUGAGACACGAAUCCAGGCCCUACGGGGUGCAGCAGGCGCGAAAACUUUACAAUGCUGGAAACAGCGAUAAGGGGACCUCGAGUGCCAGGUUACAAAUCUGGCUGUCGUGAUGCCUAAAAAGCAUUGCAUAGCAAGGGCCGGGCAAGACCGGUGCCAGCCGCCGCGGUAACACCGGCGGCUCGAGUGGUAACCGUUAUUAUUGGGUCUAAAGGGUCUGUAGCCGGCCGGAUAAGUCUCUUGGGAAAUCUGGCAGCUUAACUGUCAGGCUUUCAGGAGAUACUGUCUGGCUCGAGGCCGGGAGAGGUGAGAGGUACUUCAGGGGUAGGGGUGAAAUCUUGUAAUCCUUGAAGGACCACCAGUGGCGAAGGCGUCUCACCAGAACGGACCUGACGGCAAGGGACGAAAGCUAGGGGCACGAACCGGAUUAGAUACCCGGGUAGUCCUAGCCGUAAACGAUACUCGCUAGGUGUCGGCCACGGUGCGACCGUUGUCGGUGCCGUAGGGAAGCCGUGAAGCGAGCCACCUGGGAAGUACGGCCGCAAGGCUGAAACU
rnacentral:rRNA from 1 species